CUCAAUUAACAUGAAAUAUACUCAUCUUUUAGUUUGUCAAGGAAAUGCCAAUUAAAACUAUAAUGAGGCAUCAUUUUUCACUUAUCAAGAUUGGUAAGUGUUAAAGACUGAUGGCAUCUGGCAUUGGCAAGAACAUAACAAAAGAAAUCCAUUAUUUGCUGGCAGAAGUGUGGUAAAAGUGUGAUCACUUUAAAAAUGGGUACACCAUUUUAUUCAGCAUAUCUCACUUUUGAAAAACAAUUCUAGAGAGGCCUCAAUAUAGGAGAUAAUAUGUGUGUAUACACAACUGCAUAUACAAAGAUGUCUAUUACAGCAUUGUUUAUAGGAGCGAAUACUUGUUUACUCAUCAAUGUGGGAAGUAUUAAAUAAAUGGUGGAGUACACUUAAUGUGUAUUAUUACAUAGUUAUGAAAAAUUGUUCUCAAUGUGUUUUAUGUAGAUUGAGAGUAAUCAUAUAGAGCAAAAUUAAAAUAAUACAAAACAACUUGAAGAUAUAUAUACUUAUAUAUAUAAAACUAUUAUUCUAUUUUUUAAUAAAACGAGAGGAAAAUGCCCUUGUAAAUACUGCAUUUGCAUGCAUAUCUAUAUUUUAUAUGCUAUAUGCCUCAUACACACAUGAGUAGGCUUUGUGAGCAAGAAGGAUAUUGUGUUGUGUGUACAUAAGACAUAGGUGAAGGAAUUGUAUUCUUCUGCACCUCGGGUUAUGUGACAAGAAAAAAGUAUUCUGUGUCAUAUUCCUAGCUUGGUUGGAACUGGUCAUUGUUAAAAUAACAGAAAAAGUUUUGGAGGAUGUCAGUUAAAAGAUAUAUUACUUGCCAUUUUUAAAAAAUAUUAAAUAAGUAAAUGUACAUUCAUUUGCUAUUCCCUAAAAAUAUGGGUCAUAACUACGAAUUUACUAAUUAGUUUCCCAUAAUAUUUCUU
rnacentral:lncRNA from 1 species